rnacentral:rRNA from 1 species
GGUUAAGCGACUAAGCGUACACGGUGGAUGCCCUGGCAGUCAGAGGCGAUGAAGGACGUGCUAAUCUGCGAUAAGCGUCGGUAAGGUGAUAUGAACCGUUAUAACCGGCGAUUUCCGAAUGGGGAAACCCAGUGUGUUUCGACACACUAUCAUUAACUGAAUCCAUAGGUUAAUGAGGCGAACCGGGGGAACUGAAACAUCUAAGUACCCCGAGGAAAAGAAAUCAACCGAGAUUCCCCCAGUAGCGGCGAGCGAACGGGGAGCAGCCCAGAGCCUGAAUCAGUGUGUGUGUUAGUGGAAGCGUCUGGAAAGGCGCGCGAUACAGGGUGACAGCCCCGUACACAAAAAUGCACAUGCUGUGAGCUCGAUGAGUAGGGCGGGACACGUGGUAUCCUGUCUGAAUAUGGGGGGACCAUCCUCCAAGGCUAAAUACUCCUGACUGACCGAUAGUGAACC